ensembl:lncRNA
GCAACAAUUAUUGCCACCCCAUGAAUUCAUUCGAGAAAAAUAUAUUUGAGUAUAUUCCCAUUUAUAUUUGAUAUUUUUUAGUACACCUGGGUGACUAGGAACAGGAAAUUGUUCAACCAUGACUUCCUGUUUCACAGGGGUAUAAAUAUGAGGUAACACACAGGCCAAAUUCCCUUAGUCUUUCAUAACAAUGGGUAAGAGCGAGGAAUAUAGCUGUGAUGUGCGGCAAAAGGUUGUUGAGCUUCACACAAUGGGGCGUGUCUAUAAGAAAAUAGCACACGCAUUGAAAAUGCCCGUUUCCACCAUCAGGGCAAUAAUUAAGAAGUUCCAGUCCACUGGAAAUGUUAUGAAUCCACCUGGAAUUGGACGUGUGUCUAUAUCGUCUCAACGCACUGUGAAGAGGACGGUUCGAGUGGAUAAAACAUCUCCAAGGAUCACAGCUGGAGAACUGCAGAAGUUAGUUGUGUCUUGGGGUCAGAAAGUCUCCAAAAUUACAAUCUGAAGUCACCGACAUCACCACAAGCUGUUUGGAAGGGUUUCAGGAAAAAAAGCCUCUACUCUCAUCCAAAAACAAACUCGAGCGUCUUCAGCGUGCCGACACUACUGGAACUUCAAAUGGGAUCGGGUUCUACGGUCAGAUGAAACCAGAAUAGAGCUUUUUGGUAAUAAACACAGAGGUGGUUUUGGUACACAGAGAGGUAGCUGUAUGGAAAAGUCCCUCAUGCCCACGGUUAAAUAUGGAGGUGGAUCUUUAAUGUUUUGGGCUGUUUUUCUGCCAGAGGACCUGGACAUUUUGUUAGGAUACAUGGCAUCAUGGACUCCAUCAAAUAUCAACAGAUAUUAAAUGAAAUCCUGACUGCCUCUGCCAGAAAGAUUCAAAUGGGCCGUGGUUGGAUCUUCCAGCAGGACGAUGAUCCAAAACAUCAUCAAAAUCAACACAGAAAUGGUUUACUGACCACAAAAUCAAGAUCCUGCCCUGACCAUCCCAGUCCCCUGACCUGAACCCCAUAGAA